GCGCUUUGGCAGCACAUACAGUAAAACUGCAACAAUACAGAGAUUAUUGUUCUCUGAGCAAGGAUGACAUGCAAAUUUGUGAAGCUUUCUCUUUUGUA
ensembl:snRNA U6 U6 spliceosomal RNA